UACGUAGGGGGGCAAGCGUUGUCCGGAAUCAUUGGGCGUAAAGCGCGUGUAGGCGGCCCGGUAAGUCCGCUGUGAAAGUCCAGGGCUCAACCCUGGGAUGCCGGUGGAUACUGUCGGGCUCGAGUCCGGAAGAGGCGAGUGGAAUUCCUGGUGUAGCGGUGAAAUGCGCAGAUAUCAGGAGGAACACCGAUGGCGAAGGCAGCUCGCUGGGACGUGACUGACGCUGAGACGCGAAAGCGUGGGGAGCAAACAGG
rnacentral:rRNA from 1 species